AUACGUAGGGAGCGAGCGUUGUCCGGAAUUACUGGGCGUAAAGGGCGCGUAGGCGGCGCUUCAAGUCGUCUGUCAAAUGGAAGGGCUUAACCCUUUUUCGCAGACGAAACUGGAGAGCUUGAGAAGCAGAGAGGUAAACAGAAUUCCUGGUGUAGCGGUGAAAUGCGUAGAUAUCAGGAAGAAUACCAGUGGCGAAGGCGGUUUGCUGGCUGCAUACUGACGCUGAAGCGCGAAAGCCAGGGGAGCGAACGGGAUUAGAUACCCCGGUAGUCCUGGCAGUAAACGAUGUAUGCUGGGUGUGAGACUAGCGAUAGUUUCGUGCCGAAGUUAACGCGAUAAGCAUACCGCCUGGGGAGUACGGUCGCAAGAUUGAAACUCAAAUGAAUUGACGGGG
rnacentral:rRNA from 1 species